CCAAGAACCAGGAGCUCUUAUGUCCAAGGGCAGGAGAAGAUGGAUCUUCCAGCUCAAGAAGCAAAAGAAAGAAUGAGCCCUACCUCUGCCAUUUGUGCUAUUUAAUCUUGGAUGAUGUCCACCCACCUUGGUGAGGGAGAGAUUUGUGAUCUUACUUAGAUGAUGUGUGAGACAGUAAAUGAAAUGAGGAGCAUUCACUUAAAUGUUGUUGAGCAUUUCUGUCUUCUGGGCUCCAGUAUCUGAGAGUUGAUUAUGAGUUUCUUCUAAUAUCAUAAGAAUGAAGGCAUACAAACAUCUUGAAGUACAAUAUGAAAUUUAGCCUGCAAUGAUUUUAUAACUUCAGUAAGAGGAGGAGGA